GAGUGAUGGGAAGAGAAAAUUCGAAGGAAACCGCAUAAGGCUGACUUCACAGAGCAGUGAACACUUCCUGCUC
rnacentral:SRP_RNA from 1 species